rnacentral:rRNA from 1 species
UACGCAGGGUGCGAGCGUUGUCCGGAAUUAUUGGGCGUAAAGGGCUCGUAGGCGGUUUGUCGCGUCGGGAGUGAAAUCCACUGGCUUAACUGGUGGCUUGCUUUCGAUACGGGCAGACUGGAGGUAUGCAGGGGAGAACGGAAUUCCUGGUGUAGCGGUGAAAUGCGCAGAUAUCUGGAGGAAUACCGGUGGCGAAGGCGGCAUCCUGGACCGGCAUUGACGCUGAGGAGCGAAAGCCAGGGGAGCAAACGGG